rnacentral:rRNA from 1 species
AAUAUUUCGCAAUGGAGGGAACUCUGACGCAGCGACGCCGCGUGAGCGAUGAAGGUCUUCGGAUCGUAAAGCUCUGUCCUUUGGGAAGAAGGUCUUCUGACUUGACGGUACCUAACCAGAAAGCCACGGCUAACUACGUGCCAGCAGCCGCGGUAAUACGCAGGUGGCAAGCGUUAUCCGGAAUUAUUGGGCGUAAAGCGCGCGCAGGCGGUUUCUUAAGUCUGAUGUGAAAGCCCACGGCUCAACCGUGGAGGGUCAUUGGAAACUGGGAAGCUUGAGUGCAGAAGAGGAGAGUGGAAUUCCAUGUGUAGCGGUGAAAUGCGUAGAGAUAUGGAGGAACACCAGUGGCGAAGGCGACUCUCUGGUCUGCAACUGACGCUGAGGCGCGAAAGCGUGGGGAGCGAACA